GGGUAUAUGGUUUAGUGGUACAACAUUUGCUUAGUAUGUAAAGGGUCCGGUGUUCAAUUUGCUGCUUGUCCA
rnacentral:tRNA from 1 species